rnacentral:rRNA from 1 species
GAUGAACGCUGGCGGCGUGCCUAAUACGUGCCAGUCGAGCGAACAGAUGAGAAGCUUGCUUACCUGAUGUUAGCGGCGGACGGGUGAGUAACACGUGGGUAACCUACCUAUAGGACUGGGAUAACUCCGGGCAACCGGGGCUAAUACCGGCUAAUCGUUGGAACCGCCUGGUCCAAUAGUGAAAGACGGUUUCGGCUGUCACCUAUAGAGGGACCGGCGCCGUCUUAGCUAGUUGGUAAGGUAACGGCUUACCAAGGCGACGAUACGUAGCCGACCUGAGAGGGUGAUCGGCCACACUGGAACUGAGACACGGUCCAGACUCCUACGGGAGGCAGCAGUAGGGAAUCUUCCGCAAUGGGCGAAAGCCUGACGGAGCAACGCCGCGUGAGUGAUGAAGGUCUUCGGAUCGUAAAACUCUGUUGUUAGGGAAGAACAAAUUUGUUAGUAACUGAACAAAUCUUGACGGUACCUAACCAGAAAGCCACGGCUAACUACGUGCCAGCCGCCGCAGUAA